rnacentral:misc_RNA from 1 species
CAUCAGCACUAUUAUACCCCUCACUAUCACCAUGAGAUCUAGGAGAGGAAGGCCGUGACCCAGAUGGUGAAGCCCUUGUAGAAACAACAGGCCAAGCAACUGCUCUUCUAGAUGAUCCAAUUCGCACAGAAUUUGAACUACCCGAUACAAAUCUCCUCGAGUUUGAAUUUGAAUUUGUUGCCAAAGGUUUUGGAGGUGGCACAGGAGGGGGUGGUGG